GAGUUUGAUCAUGGCUCAGAUUGAACGCUGGCGGCAGGCCUAACACAUGCAAGUCGGGCGGUAGAGAGAAGCUUGCUUCUCUUGAGAGCGGCGGACGGGUGAGUAAUGCCUAGGAAUCUGCCUGGUAGUGGGGGAUAACGCUCGGAAACGGACGCUAAUACCGCAUACGAUCUAAGGAUGAAAGUGGGGGCUUCGCAAGAACCUCAUGCUCCUGGAGCGGCCGAUAUCUGAUUAGCUAGUUGGUGGGGUAAAGGCCCACCAAGGCUUCGAUCAGUAGCUGGUCUGAGAGGACGACCAGCCACACUGGAACUGAGACACGGUCCAGACUCCUACGGGAGGCAGCAGUGGGGGAAUUUUGGACAAUGGGCGCAAGCCUGAUCCAGCAAUGCCGCGUGAGUGAAGAAGGCCUUCGGUGUAAGUACGUCUUUGUUCUAGGAGAAACGGUAGAGAGCGUAAUAUACUCUUGUC
rnacentral:rRNA from 1 species